rnacentral:rRNA from 1 species
AAUAAGCGGAGGAAAAGAAACUAACAAGGAUUCCCCUAGUAACGGCGAGUGAAGCGGGAAGAGCUCAAAUUUGAAAUCUGGUAGCCUUCGGUUGCCCGAGUUGUAAUCUAGAGAAAUGUUUUCCGUGCCGGCCCAUGUACAAGUCCCUUGGAACAGGGCGUCAUAGAGGGUGAGAAUCCCGUCCUUGACAUGGACCCCCGGUGCUUUGUGAUACAUUUUCAACGAGUCGAGUUGUUUGGGAAUGCAGCUCAAAAUGGGUGGUGAAUUCCAUCUAAAGCUAAAUAUUGGCGAGAGACCGAUAGCGAACAAGUACCGUGAGGGAAAGAUGAAAAGCACUUUGGAAAGAGAGUUAAACAGUACGUGAAAUUGUUGAAAGGGAAACGAUUGAAGUCAGUCAUGCUCUUUGGUAUUUAUAUCAUUGAGUGGGGUCAACAUCAGUUUUGAUCGAUGGAUAAAGGCACUAGGAAGGUAGCACUCUCGGGUGAACUUAUAGCCUAGCGUCAUAUACAUUGAUUGGGACUGAGGAACGCAGCAUGCCUUUAUGGCCGGGAUUCGUCCACGUACAUGCUUAGGAUGUUGACAUAAUGGCUUUAAACGACCCGUCUUGAAACACG